rnacentral:rRNA from 1 species
ACCCUUACAUAGUCAACCUGCCCUCGGGUCGAGAAUAAUCUCCUGAAACUGAGGCUAAUGAGCGACAGGUCAAGAUUCCUGGAAUGGGUUUUGGUCUAAACGGCGUGACAGCAUCCUGUCAUGUCCGCCCGAGGAUGGGACUGCGGCCGAUCAGGCUGUUGGUGGGGUAAAGGCCCACCAAACCAGUAACCGGUACGGGCUUUGAGAGAAGGAGCCCGGAGAUGGACACUGAGACAAGGGUCCAGGUCCUACGGGGCGCAGCAGGCGCGAAACCUUCGCAAUGCGCGCAAGCGCGACGAGGUUAUUCCGAGUGAUUUCCGCUGAGGAAAUCUUUUCUCAGAUCUAAAAAGUCUGGGGAAUAAGGGGAGGGCAAGUCUGGUGUCAGCCGCCGCGGUAAUACCAGCUCCUCGAGUGGUCAGGGCGUUUAUUGGGCCUAAAGCAUCCGUAGCCUGCUCGGUAGGUCUCCUGUUAAAUCCAACGGCUCAACCGUUGGUCUGCAGGAGAUACCGCUGGGCUAGGAGGCGGGAGAGGCGGACGGUACUCCGAGGGUAGGGGUAAAAUCCUUUGAUCCCCGGAAGA